GACGAACGCUGGCGGCGUGCCUAAUACAUGCAAGUCGAGCGAAGUUUUUCUGGUGCUUGCACUAGAAAAACUUAGCGGCGAACGGGUGAGUAACACGUAAAGAACCUGCCUCAUAGACUGGGACAACUAUUGGAAACGAUAGCUAAUACCGGAUAACAGUAUUUCUCGCAUGGGAGAUAUUUAAAAGUUGGUUAUGCUAACACUAUGAGAUGGCUUUGCGGUGCAUUAGCUAGUUGGUGGGGUAAAGGCCCACCAAGGCGACGAUGCAUAGCCGACCUGAGAGGGGGAUAGGCCACACUGGGACUGAGACACGGCCCAGACUCCUACGGGAGGCAGCAGUAGGGAAUCUUCCGCAAUGGGCGAAAGCCUGACGGAGCAACGCCGCGUGAGUGAAGAAGGAUUUCGGUUCGUAAAGCUCUGUUGUUAGGGAAGAAUGGAUAUGUGGUAACUAUACAUGUAAGAGACGGUACCUAACCAGAAAGCCACGGCUAACUACGUG
rnacentral:rRNA from 1 species